rnacentral:lncRNA from 1 species
GUGGGCUCGUCAUGUCUUCUAUCUUUCUUUGAGUCUUUUGUCUCCUUUCACUUAACAUGUGCAGUGUCUCCAGUGGCCCUCCUGCUCAGCGGUCAACCGAGGACCUAACUAUUGCACCUGGGUAAAGCGGCAGCACAUUUUGGUGUCAAGGUGCAGACCCACUGUGGUGCCCAGCAUCCCAGCCAGGGGGACGGGGACAGCCCUGGAGGCACCUGUAGGAGAGAAGGCGCAGGUGGAAGACGGCCGCUCCCGCGCUGAGUCACCUGCGCCCGGGCCCCACUCGGCACAGGGAUCAGAGGCUCCGCCGGCCAAUUCACCUGCUCUUACCUCCCGGCCGGAAGCCAUCACGGGGGAGCGCUGAGCACCUGCUCGCCCAGCCAUCAUGGGGCCCCAGACAGGUGCCGAGGAGGCCUUGGGUGUCAGGCGAUGGAGCACGGCAGCAUGAAGGACGAGUCACAGAGUCUGUAGACCCAGUAGGCCUUCUUCCCAGCAACAGCUGCAAGCAGUGACCUGGAGUCCAUGCGGAGGAGAAGCCGGAUGGUGUCUCCCGGAAGUGAUCCCCCGAGAUUGACAGUGCUCCCCCUUGCUCCCAAGCAUAUCAUCUUGACUCUUCGGAGAAGCUGGAGCCUGGCCCAAGGCGGAGACAUGGUGCAGAGCCCUGUCACACCUUCCAGCGCGGGUGACCCUGGUGAAGAGAGAGAGAAUGCAUGCAAGUGGCAGGGAGGAGCAGAGGGAGAUGGAGAAAGAAUCUCAAGCAGACCCCACUUAGCACAGAGCUGGAUGCAAGACUCCAUCUCACGACCCUAG